ensembl:lncRNA
UGUCACUCUUACCCUUAAGGAGAGUCUGCUCCUUGUACUUAUUAGCCAAACUGCCUCUUUCAAGUGUCACAUUCAAUAGCUAAACCGUGGGGCAAGGCAGUGUGGGAGCUCCUCCACUCUCCUCACUAUCAUUUGCAAAUUCCUUCACUAAGUGUGUGUUCUUAUUUAGUGUGGAUUCAUAUUCAGUGUCUACAACUGAGAAUUGCUGAGAAGUCAUCAACAUGACCCACCUUGUCACUAUGCACAUCCUCAGUUCUGCCUACAGCUGAGAAUUCUUAUUCAUAUGUAUUCAUAUUCUGUACCUGCAACUGAGCCAGGUGCUUGCUGUACUAAGUACUUGGAAUACAUUGGUAAACAAGGCGGAUUUAAAAAAUUCUGCCCUCAAGGAGCUGACAUUCUAACAGGGAAAACUGACAGUGAACACUAAACAUGAUAAAUAUGUAACUUAGGUCAGAAUUUAAAAGGUGGCAUGCGCCAUGAAAAAGAAGAAAUAGAGCCAAAUAGGGGGAUUAGGAUGCCCGAGGAGGCUGCAACAAUAAAGAGUGGCCAGGGAAGUCCUCACGGAGAAGGUGAUCUGAACGAAGGCUUGGAAGUUUCCAUGGCCAUUUGGACAGCCCAUGGGUGUCGGAGGGAGGAGUGCCCCAAGAAGAGGGCAUAAAAUAGGAUCACACCCAACAAGUCUGGGGCUAGACAGCAGAGAGCCACGUGGAGGCACGGGGGGCAGUUAGGAGACCACUACACGAUCCAGGUGAGAGAUUAUGACAGUUGAGAUGAGGGUGAAGGUCGUGGGGUCAGAAGUGAUGGAAUACUGGGCAUAUCUUGAAGCUAGAAUAUCCAGAAUUUUCUGAUGGGUGAACUGAAGAUUCAAGAGAAAGAAACGAAACAACAUGAUUCCACAACAUUUGGCCUGAGAUUCUAGAAGGAUGGCAACUCCGUCCUGAGGUGGAGAACGCUGUGGGAGAAGAUCAGGAGUUUGGUUUUGAGCAAGUUGCACUUGAGAUGCGCAUUGGACAUGCAGGUGGAGAUGUCAAGGAGACAGUCAGCGAUGGAAGGCUGGAUUCAGGAGGGAGCUCUGGAGAUGUAAGUGUCAGUCAUUGGCAUUGAGGAUGGCCUGAGGGCAUCAAGGGUGUGCAUAGUGAUGAGGUGGGCCUUCUUGACUACUUCAGAAACAUGUUUUGGCUGCCAAUUCAGGAUGGCCACAUUAGCACCAAAAUGUUAGGUUUACGAUUUAUUGGCCAUUGUCCUAACAGUACAUAUAUUGUCUCACCCCAUCUCAAAAUAACUUGCAAGAGAGUUGUAUUGUUCCCAUUUUACAGAUGAAGAUGCCACGGUGCUGAGAUCCAGUUAUCCAAGACCACAGGAUUAAUACGAAGCAAGGUUUCAAACUCAGGAGGCCCACUCUUAACCACCAUGUUAUGCUAACGUAGCACAUGUUCCAGCAAAUCUAAACUUAAGCAAUAAAAAUAAAAUCCAAGAAAGAAAAUGUCACAAGAUCCAUGAGAAUGUAGGACUCAGAUGUGCCACAAAAAAAUCCAAGCUGAUGGCUACACAGCAGC